rnacentral:misc_RNA from 1 species
CAACGGGAGCGUAGAGCCGCGACGCGCGGUCGGCGAUACGGCGAUACACGGAGCGGCCUGCUUCGGCAGCUUCCAUCAUUCGUACCAUUUCCGCGAGGAAUGAGUCCUUCGCAGCCGCGGUGNNNUGGUCAGAGGUCCCGUCAGGUUCAGCGUUCCGGCUGAAAGCAUUGCGCCUGCAACGGCCGGUUGCGGCCGGCUCUCUCCGGUAACGAUGGCGCAAUCGAUGUCCGAUGUUCCCUUGAUCACUUUAGCAUCGACC